rnacentral:rRNA from 1 species
CGGGUGAGUAACGCGUGAGGAACCUGCCUCAAAGAGGGGGACAACAGUUGGAAACGACUGCUAAUACCGCAUAAGCCCACGGCUCGGCAUCGAGCAGAGGGGAAAGGAGCAAUCCGCUUUGAGAUGGCCUCGCGUCCGAUUAGCUAGUUGGUGAGGUAAUGGCCCACCAAGGCGACGAUCGGUAGCCGGACUGAGAGGUUGAACGGCCACAUUGGGACUGAGACACGGCCCAG